rnacentral:sRNA from 1 species
GAAUUUUAAAAGCCUAAGUAUUGUAUCCUUGUUAGAAGAUACAAAGACAAAGACUCAUACGGACUUCGGCUCACCAUCAAAGCUUUGACAAGCAAGAAGAAGCUUAGUUAGUGUUUUGGAGUCAAAUAUGACUUAAUGUGAUGUGUAUGAUUGAGUAUAAGAACUUAAACCGCAACUCGAUCAUAAAAGCCUAU